rnacentral:rRNA from 1 species
GACGAACGCUGGCGGCGUGCUUAACACAUGCAAGUCGAACGAAGUGGCGAACGGGUGAGUAACGCGUACUCAACCUGCCCUUCAGAGGGGGACAACAGUUGGAAACGACUGCUAAUACCGCAUACUGAAGGAGGGGAUUGCGUCUGAUGAGCUAGUUGGAGGGGGAACGGCCCACCAAGGCGAUGAUCAGUAGGCGGUCUGAGAGGAUGAACGGCCACAUUGGGACUGAGACACGGGCCAGACUUCUACGGGAGGGAGCCGUGGGGGAUCUUCCGCAAAGGACGAAAGUCUGACGGAGCAACGCAGCGUGAGUGAUGACGGCCUUCGGGUUGUAAAGCUCUGUUAAUCGGGACGCGGUACCGGAAUAGAAAGCCACGGCUAACUACGUGCCAGCCGCCGCGGUAAUUC